GCACCCUUAGCUCAGUGGAUAGAGUGUUCGACUACGAAUCGAAAGGUCGUGGGUUCGAAUCCCCCAGGGUGCACCA
rnacentral:tRNA from 1 species